CAUAAUUAUGCUUGCAUAAUUUCAUAAAAAGUCACAUGUAUAUCUUAGCAGAAAGUUGAAAAAUGUUGCUUUUACGUCACACAAGAGCAGCCAUUUUCCUCUGGUGCCAUGGGAACGUUAUGAAGGGACAUAAUUACGCAACAAGUCUCUUUUUCAGCAGACCGCAAUUUUUGCAAAUUCCCGCAAUUUUUGCAAAUUCCCGCAAUUUUUGCAAAUUCCCGCAAUUUUUGCAGGUUCCCGCAAUUUUUGCAAGUUCCCGCAAUUUUUGCAAGUUCCCACAAUUUUUGCAGGUUCCCGCAAUUUUUGCAAGUUCCCACAAUUUUUGCAACUUCCCACAAUUUUUGCAGGUUCCCACAAUUUUUGCAAGUUCCCUCAUAUUCCAUUGCACUUUUUAAGAAAACGUGCCGCAUAAUCAAGACUUUUUGGCCCGCAACAAUCA